GAUGAACGCUAGCUACAGGCUUAACACAUGCAAGUCGAGGGGAAACGACAUCGAAAGCUUGCUUUUGAUGGGCGUCGACCGGCGCACGGGUGAGUAACGCGUAUCCAACCUGCCCACCACUUGGGGAUAACCUUGCGAAAGUAAGACUAAUACCCAAUGAUAUCUCUAGAAGACAUCUGAAAGAGAUUAAAGAUUUAUCGGUGAUGGAUGGGGAUGCGUCUGAUUAGCUUGUUGGCGGGGUAACGGCCCACCAAGGCAACGAUCAGUAGGGGUUCUGAGAGGAAGGUCCCCCACAUUGGAACUGAGACACGGUCCAAACUCCUACGGGAGGCAGCAGUGAGGAGUAUUGGUCAAUGGACGAGAGUCUGAACCAGCCAAGUAGCGUGCAGGAAGACGGCCCUAUGGGUUGUAAACUGCUUUUAUAAGGGAAUAAAGUGAGUCUCGUGAGACUUUUUGCAUGUACCUUAUGAAUAAGGACCGGCUAAUUCCGUG
rnacentral:rRNA from 1 species